CUGGUUGAUCCUGCCAGUGAUCAUAUUCUUCGAUCAAAGAUUAAGCCAUGCAUGUCCAAGACUAAACAAGUUACUAGUGAAUCUGCGUAUGGCUCAUUAUAUGAAUCAUUACUUACCCGAGCACCAAAUCACAACUGGAUAACCGUUGUAAUUCAAGGGCUAAUCAUGCAUCAAAAGAAGUUUAGUAAUAGACUUCUGCAUUUGUUAGUCGCAAACCAACAUUUUUGUUCGGUGAAUCAUGACAAAUUGCGGAUCCUCAUGUUGCAAAAAACGGAGGACGACUCGGUCAGGUCUUUCCCCUAUCAGUUUUCGUAGGAAAUGUAUUGAAUUUUCUAGACUUUGACGGGUAGCGGAAAAUAAGGGUUUGAUUCCGGAGAAGGAGCCUGAGAGACGGCUACUACAUCUAAGGAAGGCAGCAGGCGCGCAAAUUUCCCAAUGCUCAUCGAGCGAGGAAGUGACGAUCAAUAACAAUGUGCGAUUCUUUAUGGAUUGUGCAAUUGGAAUGACUACAAUGUAAAGAGUUUAAGGAGGAUCAAUUGGAGGGCAAGUCUGGUGCCAGCAGCCGCGUAAUUCCAGCUCCAAUAGGAUAUAUCAAAGUUGUUGCAGUUAAAAAGCUCGUAGUUGAAUUUCUGGUGGGUUGAUGUUGUUUCUUUUGGAUGAAAGUCUGAGGGAUAAUGACCGCCCGCCAUCUUGUGGAAUCUGUUUUGUUUUGUUUGUUUACUCAAAUGAAAUAAGGCCCCACUCAGUCACUGAGAGCAAAUUGGAGUGCUCAAAGCAGGCUUUAUAGCUUUGAACAUUUUAGCUUGGAAUGACAAGAUAAGACUUUUGUUUUAUUUUGUUGGUUAUAAAAUGAAAGUAAUGAUUAACAGGAACAGUUGCGGGGGUACUCGUAUUGAAAGGUCAGAGGUGAAAUUCUUGGAUUCUUUCAAGACGAACGACUGCGAAAGCAUUUACCAAGGAUGUUUUCAUUAAUCAAGAACGAAAGCUCGGGGAUCGAAGAUGAUUAGAUACCAUCGUAGUCCGACGCCAUAAACGAUGCCGACUCGGGAUUGGUCUAGUAAUUGUUUCACAAAUUCAGAUCAGCACCGUAUGAGAAAUCAAAGUCUUUGGGUUCCGGGGGGAGUAUGGUCGCAAGGCUGAAACUUAAAGGAAUUGACGGAAGGGCACACCAGAGGUGGAGCCUGCGGUUUAAUUUGACUCAACACGGGGAAACUUACCAGGUCCAGACAUGAUGAGGAUUGACAGUUUGAAAGCACUUUCUUGAUUUCAUGGGUGGUGGUGCAUGGCCGUUCUUAGUUUGUGGAGUGAUUUGUCUGGUUGAUUCCGAUAACGAACGAGACGGGAGGAGCUUACUAGUUUCUCGUUAUAACC
rnacentral:rRNA from 1 species